GCAGAUAAUUAAGACUGCCCAGUCUAGAAUAGCUCGUUGCUAGAAUACCUGCAUUACAGAAACCAGCUAAUGGUACGUGAUUUCCAGGACAUGGCUAACGUGGUGACCAUGACAUGCCUGACCACCAAACCCUUCAUAGACUCCAUAGACUUCAAUAUCCGGAUCCAGAAAAUUGUAAAGAACUACAAAGCCUACAUGAAAACAUCUUUUUCUGGGACCUGGAAAGCAAAGACUGGCUCUGCAAUCUGGAACAGAUCGCCAUGCCAGACAG